rnacentral:rRNA from 4 species
UGGAGCUGAAGUCAGUCGAAGAUACCAGCUGGCUGCAACUGUUUAUUAAAAACACAGCACUGUGCAAACACGAAAGUGGACGUAUACGGUGUGACGCCUGCCCGGUGCCGGAAGGUUAAUUGAUGGGGUCAGCGCAAGCGAAGCUCCUGAUCGAAGCCCCGGUAAACGGCGGCCGUAACUAUAACGGUCCUAAGGUAGCGAAAUUCCUUGUCGGGUAAGUUCCGACCUGCACGAAUGGCGUAAUGAUGGCCAGGCUGUCUCCACCCGAGACUCAGUGAAAUUGAACUCGCUGUGAAGAUGCAGUGUACCCGCGGCAAGACGGAAAGACCCCGUGAACCUUUACUAUAGCUUGACACUGAACAUUGAGCCUUGAUGUGUAGGAUAGGUGGGAGGCUUUGAAGUGUGGACGCCAGUCUGCAUGGAGCCGACCUUGAAAUACCACCCUUUAAUGUUUGAUGUUCUAACGUGGACCCGUGAUCCGGGUUGCGGACAGUGUCUGGUGGGUAGUUUGACUGGGGCGGUCUCCUCCUAAAGAGUAACGGAGGAGCACGAAGGUUGGCUAAUCCUGGUCGGACAUCAGGAGGUUAGUGCAAUGGCAUAAGCCAGCUUGACUGCGAGCGUGACGGCGCGAGCAGGUGCGAAAGCAGGUCAUAGUGAUCCGGUGGUUCUGAAUGGAAGGGCCAUCGCUCAACGGAUAAAAGGUACUCCGGGGAUAACAGGCUGAUACCGCCCAAGAGUUCAUAUCGACGGCGGUGUUUGGCACCUCGAUGUCGGCUCAUCACAUCCUGGGGCUGAAGUAGGUCCCAAGGGUAUGGCUGUUCGCCAUUUAAAGUGGUACGCGAGCUGGGUUUAGAACGUCGUGAGACAGUUCGGUCCCUAUCUGCCGUGGGCGCUGGAGAACUGAGGGGGGCUGCUCCUAGUACGAGAGGACCGGAGUGGACGCAUCACUGGUGUUCGGGUUGUCAUGCCAAUGGCACUGCCCGGUAGCUAAAUGCGGAAGAGAUAAGUGCUGAAAGCAUCUAAGCACGAAACUUGCCCCGAGAUGAGUUCUCCCUGAGACUUUAGGUCUCCUGAAGGAACGUUGAAGACGACGACGUUGAUAGGCCGGGUGUGUAAGCGCAGCGAUGCGUUGAGCUAACCGGUACUAAUGAACCGUGAGGCUUAACCUU